rnacentral:rRNA from 1 species
AUUGAACGCUGGCGGAAUGCUUUACACAUGCAAGUCGAACGGCAGCACGGACUUCGGUCUGGUAGCGAGUGGCGAACGGGUGAGUAAUACAUCGGAACGUGCCCAGUCGUGGGGGAUAACGUAGCGAAAGCUACGCUAAUACCGCAUACGAUCUAAGGAUGAAAGCGGGGGAUCGCAAGACCUCGCGCGAUUGGAGCGGCCGAUGGCAGAUUAGGUAGUUGGUAGGGGAAAGGCCUACCAAGCCGACGAUCUGUAGAUGGUCUGAGAGGACGACCAGCCACACUGGGACUGAGACACGGACCAGACUCCUACGGGAGGCAGCAGUGGGGAAUUUUGGACAAUGGACGCAAGUCUGAUCCAGCCAUUCCGCGUGCAGGAUGAAGGCCCUCGGGUUGUAAACUGCUUUUGUACAGAACGAAAAGGCUCUGGUUAAUACCUGGAGCUCAUGACGGUACUGUAAGAAUAAGCACCGGCUAACUACGUGCCAGCCGCCGCCGUAA